rnacentral:rRNA from 1 species
ACGAACGCUGGCGGCGUGCUUAACACAUGCAAGUCGAACGGGUCUGCCCUGUUUUUUGCGGGGUGGGUCAGUGGCGAACGGGUGAGUAACACGUGAGUAACCUGCCCCUCACUUCUGGAUAACCGCUUGAAAGGGUGGCUAAUACGGGGUGUUCUGGCUGUGCCGCAUGGUGUGGCUGGGAAAGAUUCACUUUUGUGGUGUUUUGGUGGGGGAUGGGCUCGCGGCCUAUCAGCUUGUUGGUGGGGUGAUGGCCUGCCAAGGCUUUGACGGGUAGCCGGCCUGAGAGGGUGGGCGGUCACACUGGGACUGAGAUACGGCCCAGACUCCUGCAGGAGGCAGCAGUGGGGGGUAUUGCACAAUGGGCGGAAGCCUGAUGCAGCGACGUCGCGUGAGGGAUGGAGGCCUUCGGGUUGUGAACCUCUUUCGCCGGUGAAGAAGGUCCUGCUCUUUGUGGUGGGGUUGACGGUAGCCGGGUUAUGAAGCGCCGGCUAACUACGUG